ACAUUGGGUGAUUGAAUAUUUGAUUUGGUCACCCAGAACGUAAGGAUCAAAAACUUACAUUUGAAGACCUUGUGUCUACUCCAUUUUCUAUGCUGCUUCGUUUAUCAGGGUUGUUCUCUGUCAACUUAUUUGGAAAUUAAUUGGGUCUUACUUUUCAAAAGGAAGCUAUGACAAAUGAUUAGUUAUGCUUUAUCUGCGGAAAUAUAUGUGCUUUUACCUCUUCAUCUUAUAUCUUGUGGAAUGGUGAUAAAAAAAACACAGGGAAACUAAAUUUUGUAGGAGUGUUACUCGAGCUUUUUUGAGAUUUGACAUAUUUAUCUGGUAUUUAACUUCUUUUGCUAUUUUUGUGUUGGAUUAAUUUUUUAAUUCAGUUUUGUCUUGCUAAAAGACCAACUUGGUAGUUAAAAACGCGUGGACUAAAAAGAGACAAAAGAGAACAACUUGGUAGUUAAAAAUAUGUAGACCGAAAAGAGAAAAAAGAGAGUAACAAAGCAAGUAUAUUAAAAGUUCAACUCAUGGGUAUCAUAUAUUAUGAGAAUGUCCAAGAAAGAUGUUGUGAUGAGUGAGGUAACACCAAAAUAAAAUUUUGGACAGAACCCCAUAAUAUACUUUAUUGAAUCGGCUGAAAAAUAUAUCUCUUCAACCUGGAUAAUUAUAUAAUAUAUUUGGCUAAGUUAUGAACUUACAAGAUAGUCUAUCCCAUUUAAAAAAAGAAUGAAAUGAAAACAAAAAAAAAAAAUCAGAACAACUUGGUUCAUGCUAUGUUGUCUGCUUUGAAUCUCUACUUUACAGAUAACUUUGUACUUUUCUAUUUUUUUAUUUGGCAAUGUGCUUUACGAUGAAGUUUCACUCUUUAGAGAUGAUCGUUAUCUGUUGAAUCUUACUCGGUUCUCAUUAUUGUAUUUUUGUGUGUAUAAUUUCAAUAGCGAAUGAUUCUUCUGAGUACUGAGGUUAUUUCGAUUUGAAGGAUCUAAUGUUACGAGAUCAUGGUUAUCUACUGAGAAUAUGUUACAUCUCUGCCAUUUUCUAAUAUUAUUUUGAUAAAUAAAAAAUCAACCCAAGUAAUGUAGAAUUAACUAUCAAGUUUGUCUCACUUGAACUUUCAAAUCUAUUGUAAAUUUGCAAUUGCAAUUUACGAUUCAGUCUGGAUAAGAAGAAAAUAGAACAUUAAAGUGAAAAAUUAUGACUAAGAUACUUCAAUAUUGUUUUCUCCUUCUACUCCAAGAGAGAAGAUGAGGCUAUUAUUAGAAAAUAUAAUAAAACAUUUGACUAAGAAAUAGAAUUUGUCUUUCUCGUGGUAGUAAAAUAAGCAAUAUUGUACAUCAGCAGUAAGUUAAUGAGAAUAUGAGAUGAUCAGAACAAUAGAUUAGUUUUUGACCUGUAAAUCUUUGUGUUUGCAUAUCUUUCCGCAUGAAGUCGUUGUUAGAGAUGUGAUGAUGAAAAUGUAUAAAUUGAUUAGCAUGCAGAUGCAUACGGAUAAAAAAUCCCACAACACCAACUUGCUGUUGAUAAAUUUGUUUGACUUGUCAUUUUAUGUCGUUAUCUAUCUGUUGUAUACUCUUUUUGUCAUAUCAUAUUGAAAUGUGAGAAAAAAAGGGGAAGCAUUACAAUGAUUAGAUAGUAUUUGGUUUGAGUUUUAAGUUUCAGAUAUAUUUGCCUUCUUAUUAAAGCUUAACUGAAGAGAAUUAUCUGCGGCUGGCUCUCUAGAUUCUCCUGACCCAAUUUUGGAAAUGUUUCUUGUGGCGGAAAGCGAGAACAGUAGCCAAUACGGAGUGAGACUGUCCUUAUUUGUAUUUAUGUCUGUUGUCCCAAAGUUAUUUUCAAGAAAUAUCUAUGUUAGAUAUAAAUAUGUCUUGUGUCUUACUUAGAUGUUUAACUUAGAGGUUAGAUAAGGUACUACUUAAUCAAAAUGGAAUCUCACUUUUUACAGGAGUAGAUUUUAGUGAUAGAAGUGUAACGCUGGUUCCUAACUUUUAAGUUCUGAACACACUUUUUUGACUCAUUAUUUGCUUAUUCCCAAAAGCAUAUGUUGCACUUAUGAUACUGCUAUUAGUUGUUGUAUCCCAAAGCUUCGCCAUAUUGAUGUGAAUGACAAUAUCUACUUUGCAGAACAAGAGUUACUUUUGGAAACCGAUUUACACGAAUUCUUUCGGUUGGAAUAAAGGAGAGUGGACAUCGACUGGGAUUAAUAAGUUGAAAAGAUUUGGUAGAUUAUACCUUUUCUAGAUGCUCUCCAGAUGAGUGCAAAUACGUGCAGUUUUUGAAUUUUCAUGGUUAAGUCUGUUGGCACUGUAAAGUGAAUUACAGAAUACAAAUGAUGAAUUAAGUAUGUUGGAGUUUUUUUUCUCUAUUGUACAAAGGUCGACACCAAUAUUAUUGUUCAGCCAUAGGGAUAUCCAUAUCCAUCGUGGUAUUAGCACAAUUUUACUGCUUGAGCGGAUAAAACCACGCUAUAACCAUAAGUGUCCCGGGCCAAUCCCAUCUAGCUUAUAUAGAAGAGCGCACAAGCUGCUCUCCGUCGACAUCCCUACUUGCCGACGGAGGGCAAUUUCGUAUUUGCAGUGCCCUAUAAUAGGCAAAAUUCCUGUUGUGUCCCUACACUAAGUGAAUUUUGUUGUUUAGGAAAGACUACUUAGGUAAUUUCGCAAUCCACUGUCACCGCUUAAUUUUGCUCUGCUUUAUCGUAAUACCAUAAUUUUGCUCUGCUUCACCAUCUUGCUUUCUGCAAAAUUCGCCCAUCUUCUCCUUCUUACUCGCUUAACCCUUGUGAUUUUGACGGUGCUUUUUGCUUUCAUAAAUUGAAUCCCAAUUUCUGGAAUAUAAAGUAAUAUUUUUGACUGAAAAUUGAGGUUUUUGCUGAGUUUUUCACAGUUUCACAUUUGCUCCACCAAGAUAAUUAUAUGGCUGAAAGCACGUUCUCCGAGGAAAAACUGGAAGAAUUGAAAUUGAUGUUCGAUUCGCUAGCUGCACAAUUUCUCCUUCUAUUUUUAAGAACAAGAGUUUCUUUUGGCAACCGAUUUACGCGAAUUCUUUAUGUUGGAAUACAGGAGAGUGGAGAUCUAUUGGAAUUAGAUUUGGUACAUUAUACCUUUUCCAGAUGUUCUCCAGAUGAGUACAAAUACGUGUAGCUUUUGAAUUUCCAUGGUUAAGUCUGUUGGCAUUGUAAAGUGAAUCAUAGAAUGUAAAUGAUGAAUUAAAUAUGUUGGAAUUUUUUUCUCUAUUGUACAAAGGUCGGCCCCAAUAUUAUUGUUCAGCCAUAGCGGGGUUUUGACACAGUUACCCACAAAAAUAAAAUUUUUUACCCUUGUCUACCCA